UACGUAGGCAGCGAGCGUUGUUCGGAGUUACUGGGCGUAAAGGGUGUGUAGGCGGUUCUUUAAGUUUGGUGUGAAAUCUCCCGGCUCAACCGGGAGGGUGCGCCGAAUACUGAGGGACUAGAGUACGGGAGAGGAAAGUGGAAUUCCUGGUGUAGCGGUGAAAUGCGUAGAUAUCAGGAGGAACACCGGUGGUGUAGAUGGCUUUCUGGACCGUAACUGACGCUGAGACACGAAAGCGUGGGUAGCAAACAGG
rnacentral:rRNA from 1 species